UACGUAGGGUGCAAGCGUUAAUCGGAAUUACUGGGCGUAAAGCGUGCGCAGGCGGUUUUGUAAGUCUGAUGUGAAAUCCCCGGGCUCAACCUGGGAACUGCAUUGGAGACUGCAAGGCUAGAGUGUGUCAGAGGGGGGUAGAAUUCCACGUGUAGCAGUGAAAUGCGUAGAGAUGUGGAGGAAUACCGAUGGCGAAGGCAGCCCCCUGGGAUAACACUGACGCUCAUGCACGAAAGCGUGGGGAGCAAACAGGAUUAGAUACCCUGGUAGUCCACGCCCUAAACGAUGUCUACUAGUUGUCGGGACUUAAUUGUCUUGGUAACGCAGCUAACGCGUGAAGUAGACCGCCUGGGGAGUACGGUCGCAAGAUUAAAACUCAAAGGAAUUGACGGGGACCCGCACAAGCGGUGGAUGAUGUGGAUUAAUUCGAUGCAACGCGAAAAACCUUACCUACCCUUGACAUGGCAGGAAUCCCGAAGAGAUUUGGGAGUGCUCGCAAGAGAACCUGCACACAGGUGCUGCAUGGCU
rnacentral:rRNA from 1 species